UAUGAAUUGACUUUCUCUAUUUUCUGC
rnacentral:piRNA from 1 species